rnacentral:rRNA from 1 species
CCUACGGGUGGCAGCAGUGAGGAAUAUUGGUCAAUGGGCGAGAGCCUGAACCAGCCAAGUCGCGUGAGGGAAGACGGUCCUAUGGAUUGUAAACCUCUUUUGUCGGGGAGCAAAAAGUCCUCGUUAGGCCACAAUUUAUAGUACCCGAAGACAAAGCAUCGGCUAACUCCGUGCCAGCAGCCGCGGUAAUACGGAGGAUGCGAGCGUUAUUCGGAUUUAUUGGGUUUAAAGGGUGCGUAGGCGGACUGGAAGUUCAGCGGUAAAAUCGAGAGGCUCAACCUCUUUCCGCCGUUGAAACUGUCGGUCUUGAGUGGGGGAGAGGUAGGCGGAAUGCGUGGUGUAGCGGUGAAAUGCAUAGAUAUCACGCAGAACUCCGAUUGCGAAGGCAGCAUACCGGAGCCCGACUGACGCUGAGGCACGAAAGCGUGGGUAUCGAACAGGAUUAGAUACCCCUGUAGUC